CCCGCACUGACCUGGAAAAGCUUCGGGAGUGGCGACGGGGGAGCAGCAGGAGGUGGUGCGGGACCCGAGACGCCUCGUACCCGGCCGGGCUGAUGCGGCCCCUCUACACACAAAGCACUUCAGCUGCACAGAGCGCUAUUUUCCGAAAAUGCCGCGUCUGGUCGGCGCCCAAAAUCCCCACCGAAAAGUCCCCCGUGCUGCGCGCGGAAGGACACAUGGUGUGCGAGAAAAAAAGAGGAAAGAUAAUAUCCCAGAAUAAAUUCCAUGAAGAAAAUAAAAUGAUGAGUGGAUAAAAUGUUUCUCUGGAGGAGAGAGCAGGCAGAAUUUUGAUGGUUGGUCAGAAGCAUCUCACUGAGAAGAUAUUCUCUGAGCCAAGACCUGAGCUGAAAAAAGUUAAGGUUAGUAUGUCAACAAAAGGGAAUAGGAGGAAAAAGGCUCUACGGUGAAAAGGAGUUUGUUUUUAAGGAGCAACAAGGAGGCCAAUGUGGCUGAAGUCUAGUGAAUAAAGGAAGGAAUGGUAGGACAUGAAGUCUUGAAAGGCAGACUUGGUAAGAAGUUUAGUGUGCUGGGAGCCAUUGAAGUGUUUUAAGGAAUAGAGUAGUAUGACUGGGAUAGUAGCAGUAAAGAGGGAGAAAAUGAAUGGAGCCCAGGUAUGUUUUGUAAUUAGCCUUGACCUGUCUUGCUAAUAAAAAAAUGUGAAGAGAGAAAGGGAGAAAUCAAGAGGGACUCCUAGGUUUUGGGCACAGAUGCCUAGGCCAGUACUGUCCAAUAGAAAUAUAAUGAAGUCCACAUAUGUAAUUUUUUUAAUUUCUAGUAAAAAGGAACAAUUGAAAAUAAUUUUACUAUCUUUUAUUUAACUUACUAUAUUUAAAGUAUUUUCAUUCACACAUGAUCAGUCUAAAAAUUAUUAAGUAUCUCAAAAUGGUUUACAUUCUUUUUUUAUUGCUAAGUGUUUGAAUCUGUGUGUAGUUUACGCUUUCCUAUUUGGAAUGAUGGAUGGUGGUGUUGGUAGCAACAACAUUGAGAAUAUAAUUAACGGCACUGAAAUAUGUAUCUGAGUAUGAUUUAAAGUGUCAGUAUUUUAUGUAACUUUAACUAAAGUUAAGGUUAAAUAUUCAAUUCCUCAGUUGUAGUAGCUAUAUUUCAAGUGCUCAGUAUCAUGUAUCGAUAUCCAAUUAAUAUAUUGGACAGUAGGGUAUAGUGGAAUAGAGAAUAGUGGAAGAGCAGAUUAAAAUAGUUGUAACUAGACUGGAAGGCCUUGGAUGCCUGAGAUUUUACCCUAGAGAUAAGGGGAAUAAUAGAAGGUUUUCGAGCUUAUUGUGCUUGAGGCCAGAAAGAGGCCACUAUGCGGCCAGCUGGUCACUCAAGAUCAAGAGAAAUUCUUCAGUUGUGUCUCCACCAUUCCAGGAUCUGACUUAAUCCCUGCAGAUUCAGAAGUUUGAUUUUUGUCAGUGCUUUGGGGCAGUGCCACCAAAAGUAUUGUCCACAGUUUAGUGACAAACAACAAACCAUUUUUUAGUGGUUUAUGACAGGCAUUUACAGAAGCUGAGAGUAAGAAUUUAGAAACUUUUAUAGCAAUUCAGUUAUUUUAUGGCUGUAGCUCUAAUAAAAAUUAUGGCCUUAUA